GACGGUAACUGAAGAAAAAGCAUCGGCUAACUCCGUGCCAGCGGCCGCGGUAAUACGGAGGAUGCAAGCGUUAUCCGGAAUCAUUGGGCGUAAAGGGUCCGCAGGUGGCGAAUAAAGUCUGCUGUUAAAGACCGGGGCUAAACUCCGGAAAGGCAGUGGAAACUGAUUAGCUAGAGUACGGUAGGGGUAGAGGGAAUUCCCAGUGUAGCGGUGAAAUGCGUAGAUAUUGGGAAGAACACCGGUGGCGAAAGCGCUCUACUAGGCCGAAACUGACACUGAGGGACGAAAGCUAGGGUAGCGAAAGGGAUUAGAUACCCCUGUAGUCUUAGCGGUAAACGAUGGAUACUAGGUGUAGCUUGUAUCGACCCGAGCUGUGCCGAAGCUAACGCGAUAAGUAUCCCGCCUGGGGAGUACGCACGCAAGUGUGAAACUCAAAGGAAUUGACGGGGGCCCGCACAAGCGGUGGAGUAUGUGGUUUAAUUCGAUGCAACGCGAAGAACCUUACCAGGGCUUGACAUGUCGCGAAUCUAGCGGAAACGUUAGAGUGCCUUAGGGAAUGCGAACACAGGUGGUGCAUGGCUGUCGUCAGCUCGUGUCGUGAGAUGUUGGGUUAAGUCCCGCAACGAGCGCAACCCUCGUCCUUAGUUGCCAAUAUUAAGUUAGGCACUCUAGGGAGACUGCCGGGGACAACUCGGAGGAAGGUGGGGAUGACGUCAAGUCAGCAUGCCCCUUACGUCCUGGGCGACACACGUACUACAAUGGUUGGGACAAAGGGCAGCAAACUCGCGAGAGUAAGCGAAUCUCAUCAAACCCAGCCACAGUUCAGAUUGCAGGCUGCAACUCGCCUGCAUGAAGUAGGAAUCGCUAGUAAUCGCAGGUCAGCAUACUGCGGUGAAUUCGUUCCCGGGCCUUGUACACACCGCCCGUCACACCAUGGAAGCUGGCUACGCCCGAAGUCGUUACCCUAACCCGGUUUUGGGAGGGGGAUGCCGAAGGUAGAGCUAGUGACUGGGGUGAAGUCGUAACAAGGUAGCCGUACCGGAAGGUGUGGCUGGAUCACCUCCUUU
rnacentral:rRNA from 1 species